GGGAGAGGACCGGCUACAUCGUAUUGCCUGGCCCUGAACACGGCCUCUAUUUUUAGCGCUGUGUCACCGUUCGCUAUAUGUCUGAACCCUGUUCAUGUAACAGUACGUGGUCGUCAUGAUGUCAUUGGCAUGCGAUAAGUACUGUCCUACAAUAUGACGCAAGUUAUAUUCAUCCAAUCACAGCACAGCGGCUUGCCUUGAUAUUUGAAUGUGUUUCUUUUUAAAUGUCACAUAAUAGUGUCAUACGGACCAAUGACUGUAUCGAUGUAUUACAACAUACGGAGAAAGUUUUAACUCGUCUGGCGAAAUCACUCCCACAAGCGCUGUGCCAAAUCUUCGAAAAAGUAACCCUCACUUAUAUGGUAUCUUAAAUCGCGAGAGCAGUAAAAGUUGUUUUUGCUCGCUUAUACAUUUGAGAAGGACAAGUUUAAUACUUUUCAUUGAAGACAAUUAUAUCAUUUACUAUACUUUUGUUUUGAAAGUGAAUGAAAAAAA
rnacentral:lncRNA from 1 species